rnacentral:rRNA from 1 species
GUGUCAGCAGCCGCGGUAAUACGUAGGGAGCGAGCGUUGUCCGGAUUUAUUGGGCGUAAAGCGCGCGUAGGCGGUUUUGUAAGUCGGAUGUGAAAACUCCAAGCUCAACUUGGAGCCUGCAUCCGAAACUGCGAUGACUAGAGUCUGGUAGGGGAACACGGAAUACCUGGUGUAGCGGUGAAAUGCUUAGAUAUCAGGUGGAACACCAGUGGCGAAGGCGGUGUUCUGGGCCAGUACUGACGCUGAUGCGCGAAAGCGUGGGGAGCGAACAGGAUUAGAAACCCCUGUAGUCC